AGUUUGAUCCUGGCUCAGAUUGAACGCUGGCGGCAUGCCUUACACAUGCAAGUCGAACGGUAACAGGUCUUCGGAUGCUGACGAGUGGCGAACGGGUGAGUAAUACAUCGGAACGUGCCCGAUCGUGGGGGAUAACGCAGCGAAAGCUGUGCUAAUACCGCAUACGAUCUACGGAUGAAAGCGGGGGACUCGCAAGGGCCUCGCGCGGACGGAGCGGCCGAUGGCAGAUUAGGUAGUUGGUGGAUAAAAGCUUACCAAGCCGACGAUCUGUAGCUGGUCUGAGAGGACGACCAGCCACACUGGGACUGAGACACGGCCCAGACUCCUACGGGAGGCAGCAGUGGGGAAUUUUGGACAAUGGGCGCAAGCCUGAUCCAGCCAUGCCGCGUGCAGGAUGAAGGCCUUCGGGUUGUAAACUGCUUUUGUACGGAACGAAAAAGCCUUCUCUAAUAAAGGGGGUGAAUGACGGUACCGUAAGAAUAAGCACCGGCUAACUACGUG
rnacentral:rRNA from 1 species